rnacentral:rRNA from 1 species
AUUGAACGCUGGCGGAAUGCUUUACACAUGCAAGUCGAGCGGCAGCGCGGUCUUCGGACUGGCGGCGAGCGGCGAACGGGUGAGUAAUACAUCGGAACAUGCCCAGUCGUGGGGGAUAACACUUCGAAAGAAGUGCUAAUACCGCAUACGUCCUGAGGGAGAAAGCGGGGGAUCGCAAGACCUCGCGCGAUUGGAGUGGCCGAUGUCAGAUUAGCUAGUUGGUGGGGUAAAGGCCUACCAAGGCAACGAUCUGUAGCUGGUCUGAGAGGAUGAUCAGCCACACUGGGACUGAGACACGGCCCAGACUCCUACGGGAGGCAGCAGUGGGGAAUUUUGGACAAUGGGGGCAACCCUGAUCCAGCCAUUCCGCGUGAGUGAAGAAGGCCUUCGGGUUGUAAAGCUCUUUCGGCAGGAACGAAACGGUGAGCUCUAACAUAGCUCGCUAAU